GUGCAUGCCUACGACAUAGCAUUAAUGCAUCGGAUCCCAUUAGAACUCUACAGUUAAGUGCGACCGGGAUAGAGAAGUAUUGGGAUAGGUGACCGCCCGAGAAGUCAUAGUGUUUUACAUG
rnacentral:rRNA from 1 species